rnacentral:tRNA from 1 species
GCCUGGCUGGCUCAGUCAGUGGAGCAUGUGACUCUUGAUCUCUAGGUUAUGAGUUCAAGCCCCAUGUUAAGUA